rnacentral:rRNA from 1 species
CCUACGGGUGGCAGCAGUGAGGAAUAUUGGUCAAUGGGCGCAACCCUGAACCAGCCAAGUCGCUUGAGGGAAGACGGCCCUACGGGUUGUAAACCUCUUUUGCCGGGGAGCAAGCCUGAGCACGUGUGCCCAGGCGGAGAGUACCCGGAGAAAAAGCAUCGGCUAAAUCCGUGCCAGCAGCCGCGGUAAUACGGAGGAUGCGAGCGUUAUCCGGAGUUAUUGGGUUAAAAGGGUGCGCAGGCGGGCUGUUAAGCCGGCGGUAAAAAUUCAGGGCUCAACCCUGUCGAGCCGUCGGAACUGGCAGCCUUGAGUGGGCGAGAAGUAUGCGGAAUGCGUGGUGUAGCGGUGAAAUGCAUAGAUAUCACGCAGAACGCCGAUUGCGAAGGCAGCAUACCGGCGCCCGACUGACGCUGAGGCACGAAAGCGUGGGGAUCGAACAGGAUUAGAUACCCUUGUAGUC